rnacentral:rRNA from 1 species
CCUACGGGGGGCAGCAGUGGGGAAUAUUGCGCAAUGGGCGAAAGCCUGACGCAGCGACGCCGCGUGAGGGAUGAAGGUCUUCGGAUCGUAAACCUCUGUCAGCAGGGAAGAACGGUCACUGUGCUAAUCAGCAGUGAAUUGACGGUACCUGCAAAGGAAGCACCGGCUAACUCCGUGCCAGCAGCCGCGGUAAUACGGAGGGGGCGAGCGUUAAUCGGAAUUACUGGGCGUAAAGCGCGCGUAGGCGGUAUGUCAAGUCAAGGGUGAAAUCCCCGGGCUCAACGUGGGAACUGCCUUUGAAACUGGCAAACUGGAGUGUGUGAGAGGAUAGUGGAAUUCCAGGUGUAGGAGUGAAAUGCGUAGAUAUCUGGAGGAACAUCAGUGGCGAAGGCGACUAUCUGGCACAUAACUGACGCUGAGGAGCGAAAGCGUGGGUAGCAAACAGGAUUAGAUACCCGGGUAGUC